CCCCGCCCCUCCCGCAGACCCCUCCCCUCCCUCCCGCAGCGGGCUCAGAAAGUUGCGAGCCGCAGCCCGGGCUGCUUCCAAAAAUCUUGGGGUUCCCCCUCCCCUCCAAUGUCUGCAGUUCCUGGGCUUCCUUUGUCCACGGGGCCAGGCCUCUUCACCCCACUCAGGACCGGCUCGUGGGAGCGCGUCUAGUCCGGCCGGGCCGCUUCGGUUUUCUGGACUCGCCCAUUGUUUCGGGAUUGUUUCGGGACCAGCUAUUCCAGAGACGGGCCCUUUGCCGGGGGUCCCCGACUCGAGAGGUUUCCGGACCCACUGCUCCAGACCUAAGACUUUUCGGGAGCGCCGAGACGCCGGACUUUUUUAGGGGAUCCCGGCUCAGGAAUUUCUCCAGAACCAACUUUUUGCCAGGGCCGGAAAGUUUUGGAGAAUCCAGUUUUUCUAGCCCUACGGAGUUUGGCUCCAUUGAUUUGCUAGAGUCCACGUUUGUAGGGAAACUUGGUUCCCGCCCCAGACAAGAAACUUAUUUUUGAGAUUAUUUUUUCUAGAUUGUGAGGCAAAUCUGGGUUUGUUCCCACCCCCCUUGACUGGGGAGAAAUCUGGGUUAUUUUUAUACCUUGGGGUGAGAACUGGGUUUAAUAAUAUUUCUAGAUGAGAAGAAAUCUCAGUUUAAUUUUUCUGGAUCAGGAAGAAAUCCGGGUUUAAUUUUCUUGGAUCAGGGCAAAAUCUGGAUGUAUUUUUUUUCUAGAUUGGGAAGAAAUCUGGGUUUAUUUUUCCUAGAUUGGGGAGAAAUCUAAAUUAUUUUUUUCUGGAUCGGGGCAAAAUCUUGGUUUAUUGUUUCUGGACUGGGAUGAAAUCUGGGUUUAACUUUUUCUAGAUUGCAGAUAAAUCUAGGUUUAAUUUUUCUGGAUCAGGAAGAAAUCCGGGUUUAAUUUUUCUGGAUCAGGGCGAAAUCUGGGUUUAAUAAUUUUUCUGGAUCAGGGUGAAUUCUGGGUUAAUUUUUUUUCUAGAUUCGGAGGAAAUCUAGGUUUAAUUUUUCUGGAUCAGGUGAUUUCUGGGUUUAUUUUUUCUGGAUCGGGGCAAAAUCUGGGUUUGUUUUUUCUGGAUGGGGAUGAAAUCAGGAUUUAAUUGUUUCUAGAUUGGGGAGAAAUCUGGGUUUAUUUUUCUGGAUCUGGGUGAUUUCUGGAUUUUUUUUUUUAGAUUGGGGCGGGGAAAAGCAGGGUUUCCUUUUUCGAGAGUUGGAAUCAGGGAGUCAGACAAAUGUGUCAAGUAUCAGGGGGUAGCCGUGUUAGUCUGUAUCUACAAAAACAACAAGGAGUCUGGUGGCACCUUAAAGACUAACAGAUUUAUUUGGGCAUAAGCUUUCGUGAGUAAAAACCUCACUUCUUCAGAUGCAUCUGAAGAAGUGAGACAAAUGUGAGGAGUUAAAACUUUCUAGACCGGGCAAAAAUGGAGCAUUAAAAGUUUUGGAGUUUAGGAGACAUUUUGGGGUUUCCAUUUUUGUAGACUGGGGAAAAAAGUGAUUGUCCCCUACAUUAGGGGAAAAUGGGGUGUCCAUUUUGUGCUCGACAAAAGGCACUUGGGGGCUUGGUUUUUCCAGAUUAGGGACAUUUUGGGGGGUUCAUUUGCUUGUUAGCCUAGGGAGAAUUUCCUCUAGAUUAGAAAAAAAUUGUGGAGGGAGGGAGUUGAUUUUUCCAUGCCAGAAAUUUAUUCACAGGUUAAUCUUUUCCAGACUUGGUCAUUUAUUAGGAUGUAAAUAUUCUGGUGGGUCGAAUUUUCAGGCUAUCUGGGGGUAGCAGAGUCCUUCCAGAGAGAGGAAAAUCCGGGGGAUUCACUUGUCCCAGAUCAAGGCGGUUUGGGGUGCCAUUUUUCCAGGCAAAAGAUUAUUUUUCUGGAGUAAAGUUUCCCCGAUUGGGAAUUUACUCCCCCCCCACCACACACACUCCCCGUUGGUUGAUCAGGAUUUCGCGAUAGCAGCUUUCCCCCGCCAAGGAAUUCGGGACUGACCCCAACCAUGGAGGUUUGGCUUCUUUGUCUCUGGAUUCCCCUCACUCAGGCGGUGGAAGAUCUGCUGCAGAAAAGAAGCAGAGCGUGAAAGCAGCCUGUUGAAAGAGACAACAGGCCUGGAAAGAAAAGUGAAGGAAAACAAGAAAAAAAGAAAGAAAACAACAACCCACCACCCACCCUCUUCCACGCUUGUCUUUCUCUGCCUCCCGCUCUUUCUUCCUCGGGGUUUGUUCCGCCAAGCAAACAUUUUUUUUGCCUUUGAAAACUUUGUGUCCCUGCUGCCCAGCUCCUGCGACAGACUUUUCUCCUUCAUUAGCCCCUGUCUCGCUCCCUCUUUCUCCCGGCUCCCCAUAAGGCCUGUGCAGAUGUAUCUUACUUCUGUCUUUGGCUCUGAU